AGAAUCAACGCUGGCGGCGUGCCUAACACAUGCAAGUCGAACGAGAAAGUGGAGCAAUCCACGAGUAAAGUGGCGCACGGGUGAGUAACACGUGACUAACCUACCCUUGAGUGGGGAAUAACUGAGGGAAACCUUAGCUAAUACCGCAUAAUACCUACUGGUCAAAGGAGCAAUUCGCUUAAGGAGGGGGUCGCGGCAGAUUAGUUAGUUGGCGGGGUAAUGGCCCACCAAGACAGUGAUCUGUA
rnacentral:rRNA from 1 species